CUCUCCUCUUCCUGCCGCCUCGGCUCCCUCCUCCCACCUCAGCUCUCUCCUCCCUCCAAACCCUAGCCCCGCACGCCACCGGCCGCGCUGCUCCGCCUCCUACUCUCCUCCCCUCGAAGCCCCAGUGCGUCCGCCUCUCCUCCUCCUGCUGCAAGGGCUGGGCAUGCCCGCACGCAGGCCGUGGCUGACCGCAGCGCGGCCAGCAUGCGGCUAACGGGGCGGCAGCGGGCGAGCAGGGGUGGCUGGGCGCGAGGAGUGGGGGCCGGUGCGGCGGGCGAACAACGGCGGCCGGAGGCGAGGCCAGGGGUGGGCGGCAGCAAGCGCAUAGGGCUGGCGAGGCGGCGCGGGCGGUGGCGGCUGGCGCAUCUGCGGGCGACAGCGGCAACAGCGCAGCAGCAGGCAGCGGCGACCGCGAGCGCGCAGGGCUGGCGAGGAUGCGGCGGCGUGACAGGGCGGCGAGCAGCGGGAAGCAGUGGGAGCUCGCCGCACGUGUGGAGCUGCGUGGUCCAGCGGGUCGACGCGUCGUGCUCUCCCCACGCCGCAGCAGCCUCUUCGCGUCUCCCCACUCCUGCCGCCCCCGGUGACCCCUAUGCCCCUUCUUCUCCGUGUUCGGCCACCCCGUGCCACUGCUGCACCUGUCACUUCUCCCUCCGCCUCUGGACUGGGCAUGUGGAGCGUGGCGUUGUCGCCGUUGUCCUCGACGCACGGGGAGCGCUGGCUGCAGAGGAGGCCAUCCACGGUGCCGUCGCCCCACAACAGAGAAGGUCGAGAAGGAUUAUGGUGUUGUGUUCUUGCAGCCUGCUGCAAGUGUUGGACUGGUCGUUCCUCUAACCGGAGGCCUUGCGAUGGUUCUGUUGGGUUCAGGUCAAACCCGGCAAUGAACUUUAGAGUUAGUAUACUCAAGUUAUUUUUUAACUACAUUACUAGACAGUCAUUGGCUUUCAGUACCAGGUUUUGCAGCUGUUAAUUGUAUUUGGUAAGCUGCCUCUCAUUGUGCUUGUCGUCGGAACCAGCAACAGCAGAAGCUUGCCUGCUGCCCUACCAAAGCAAAAUUAGGUCAUUUGUGAAUGAACAUUACCUCUUCAGCAAUCUGAUGGAUUUACAAGCUUGUUUGUUUCGUGGGUGGCUUGCUGCUCGGGUUCUUUGUUGAUUUUGUUGGAUGUGUGUGCUGUUUACCAACAAGGAGCUUCAGAAAGGUUGCUCACCAAUGAACUCGAAGAUUGUUUUGUCCUGGGCACUCACAUGAUUAAGGAAGAAGUUGGUUAUUCCUGGAUGUGCUAUGCAGAUCAAAGAUUUUGCAGGUUUUUUAGCCAUUCCCGUGCUUCCAAAGCAACUCAUGACCCCUCUUAUAACUCUGCCCUGCAAUAUUUAGGUGUUACAAAAACAGUUUGACCAUUUUGCCUCACAAUGAGAGUUCUUUCACUAUUUUGGAGAUUGGUGCAUUCUUUCUGCAGUUUAACACCUGCAUUGCAAAUAAUCUUGCCAGAGAACUGUGUUGGGCACACAACUGCGUCUCCAACCCUUCCGGUUGGGCUCUCCUGUUCUUUUUUGUUGGCUUGACGUACGCACUGGCAACCUCUUACGUGAGGGAUUCAGCAUGCCUCUAUUUGAGAGAAAAGAUAUGGAGAAGUGGAUUUUCAGAGUGUCUCAGGCACACAAGCUAAAGGUUCACCAAGUUCAGGGAAAGAAAAGUUUCCCUAGACAGGUGGCGGCAGCGGUCAAGACAAGAGCGGCAUUGUGAGCGACGACCCUCGGUCGUCUUCCCUGUGGAAUCAGGUACGCGUCGUCCAUCGUGGGUGUUGGCGGGCGACCAGAGGCGGCUACAGCAGGCCAGCGUCCGUGAUCAAGACUGACACCGGGAAGGCUGCCGGUCUACAGUUGUGCACUCGAUUCAAAUGAUUAUUCUCCGUUCUUUGCCUUAGAACUACAUAUGAGAGGUACAAAGGAUUGGCCAAGAUACUCAAUUAAGCUAUUCGAUUUAAGAUAAUGGAUGCAUUUUGAUGGAUCACAACAUGCUCUAUGGUGUUGUGGGUCACCUGGAUAUCUUCUGAUAUUCAUCUUUCCAUGCUGCAACAAGGAGGGUGUAUGAGCUUAGAGAGUUCUUAGUGUCCUUUCUCGUGACUAUGUUCAAAUAAGAAUCUGAUUAUUAGGCAUAGAAGUGAGAAAACUUCCACGAUGAAGUGACUGCUUCACAUGCACAUGGCUUGCCUGUUAUAAUCACGACCUUCGCGUGUGAUCUGGAGUGGCCUGAGAUAGUUCAGGGUCUUGAACAUGGGCAAAAAGCAGUCGACAGGACUGAUAUUACCGUACGAGUGCAUUCGAUGAAGCUUCUUGAUUACCUGCAGAAAAUCAGCAGCGGGCCAGUGUUCGGGACUGUCAUUGCUGUUGUCCACACCGUGGAGUUCCAGAAGAGGGGUCUGCCCCAUGCACGUAUCCUUGUUUGGCAGCAGAAGAACAGUGCCCAGGGAGAUCUUAACUGACUGAUGUUGAUGAUGGUACUGCUGCCACUGCACUUGCUAAGACCAUGGAAACUGCACUUGCUCAGCUACCCAGACUUAAAAUGUACGCCCUCUCUCUGCAAUGAAGCAAAAGAUGCUAUUACCUGCCUAUCCAAACUGGAAAUGCACGCAUGGAUCAUUAAAAAAUUAGCGCUAGGAAACCCCGCGCAAUGGAUCUUCUGAUGCUAUAGCAAUUAUAGUUUUGAUUCCUCUGUUUCCUUAGUUUGCCUUGUUAGGUUUUUUCCCUGUUCAUAUACAAUAUGAAUAUAUAUCUCUCAUAUACUCCUUUUGCUGAAAACAUUCUGAUCUUACGGGUGCUGCUGCUACUACAAAGACCAGUUCAUCAAAAAAAAAAUUUAGUACCUGAUCCAUGCUUGGGGAUAAGCAUGCGUGUGUGGUUGAUUUGUAUAUAGAAGCUUGAUGCCUUGACCCUCGCUACUUCCACCCUCACUGCUAAGGGCGCCGUCCACAAGAACGUGUGAAGACUGCUUCAUCGUCACUGUUUUCAAGACCUCAUCUUUGCACCCUUUUGAACAAACUACUGUUGUGUUGCUGCCGUGUUUACAAAUGAGGUCUUUGGCGCUCAUAGAGUCAUGCCAAACCUUUGUUGAUGCAUUUCCCUGUUUAAGAUCCGAACUAAGCUACUUUCAUGUCUUAUAAAUGCCAUCGUUUGCCUUUUGAACGAUGCUAUGUUGCUUUUCCAACACUGCGCUUAUGCCCCUGCCUACAACCUCUGGUGAUGUGCAUCCAUCUAUUAAUAUCCAUGA